UAAGGGAUAGCCCAGAGAAAUUUGGAUUAAUACCUUAUAGUAUUAUUGAUUGGCAUCGAUUAAUAAUUAAAGUUUCGGCGGUAAAAGAUGAGUAUGCGUCCUAUUAGCUAGUAGGUAAGGUAACGGCUUACCUAGGCAACGAUAGGUAGGGGUCCUGAGAGGGAGAUCCCCCACACUGGUACUGAGACACGGACCAGACUCCUACGGGAGGCAGCAGUGAGGAAUAUUGGGCAAUGGAGGCAACUCUGACCCAGCCAUGCCGCGUGCAGGAAGACUGCCCUAUGGGUUGUAAACUGCUUUUAUAUAGGAAGAAACCCCAUCACGUGUGAUGGUCUGACGGUACUAUAUGAAUAAGCACCGGCUAACUCCGUGCCAGCAGCCGCGGUAAUACGGAGGGUGCAAGCGUUAUCCGGAAUCAUUGGGUUUAAAGGGUCCGUAGGCGGGCAAUUAAGUCAGAGGUGAAAUCCCACAGCUCAACUGUGGAACUGCCUUUGAUACUGGUUGUCUUGAGUUACAGUGAAGUAGAUAGAAUGUGUAGUGUAGCGGUGAAAUGCAUAGAUAUUACACAGAAUACCGAUUGCGAAGGCAGUCUACUAACUGUAUACUGACGCUAAUGGACGAAAGCGUGGGGAGCGAACGGGAUUAGAUACCCCGGUAGUCCACGCCGUAAACGAUGGUCACUAGUUGUUGGGUUUUCGGAUUCAGUGACUAAGCGAAAGUGAUAAGUGACCCACCUGG
rnacentral:rRNA from 1 species